UGCUUUUCGAGCUCGUCCUUGUUACUUGGAGUGAAUCUUUCUAUGGAUGCUCUUUUCGUUUCGCCUUUGAUAAAGCUUCGUUUAUUUUGAUUCUUUUCUAUCUGAAAAUGUAUCUGAAAUAAUCCUUGUACUCUGAAAAGUUAAGCUAAUGGAGAAAAGUGUUUCAGUUACUUGUACUCUAACACUCUCCAUCGAGAGUAAAUAAGUAAAUUAAAUAAGAUAGGAGAUCACGCCAUUACUUGUUGUAUUCGGCUUUGCUAGAGUUUCUAUUUAGAGAUCGACAAAUUAUCAUUACUUAAUUCAUGCAGGGGAACUGCAAUGGCAACUUGGUAAAGUAGCUCUGAAAAUGCUAGUAUAUUUUGUCACUUAUCUUUUUUUUUUUUUAACUUAGCGAAUGCGUCUGUUAUCUAGUUUGAUUAUGCUGCAUUGAGAUUUCUACAAUUAGCUUGAGAAAUUAAAGAUGGUGAUCAUGGUCAAACGGGGUUUUCUCAAAAUUGACUGAGCAGAGGUUCACUAGUGAGUUUGAGGUGAGAGAAAUCAUUGGCAGCAGAUUGCCAGAUGAUCAAUUUAGGAAGAAUCUCAGAAGAGUUUGGUCCUAGGGGAUCGAAGAUUUAUAAUAUGCAACAAGUUUAGAGGAGAAGUGUGAAAGAUAGUGCCCUCACUUUACCUGCGUUACAUACUAAUUUGUCCUUUACUAGCAAAGAACAAAAUUUUAGCUUCUGUUCACGCUUAAAAACUGCAUCAAACUAUUUUCUUUUCUUUUCAACUCUCCCUUGUAUGACUUGUAAAAGCAGUUAUUUGAUAAUAAAUUUUGUUGAUGUGUGGGGCA